UUUACCUUUUGGAACUCCCAGCCUUCCUGUGAGAAGUUCCACUGCCUGAGGCUGGCAUUUUGUGAGAAAGCCCAAGACAGACAGAGAGACCCUUUGAAGGGUCUUGCUGUGUUGACCAAGUUGGAGUGCAGUGGCAUGAUCUCAGCUCAUUGCAACCUCUGCCUCCUGAGUUCAAGCAUUCUCCUCUCUCAGCCUCCCAAGUAGCUGGGACUACAGGCAUGUACCACCACACCUGGGUAAUUUUUGUAAUUUUUUAGUAGAAAUGGGGUUUCACCAUGUUGACCAGGCUGGCCUUGAACUCUUGACCUCAAGUGAUCCACCCACUUCGGCCUC
rnacentral:lncRNA from 1 species